AGGAAUUUACCUGGAUUGGAAGAAAAGGCUCAGGAUUGCUCUAGGAUCAGCCAGAGGACUAGCAUAUCUUCAUGAGCUUGCCAAUCCACCUAUUAUCCACAGAGAUGUCAAGUCCACAAAUAUCCUUUUGGAUGACAACUUUAAAGCAAAGGUUGCUGAUUUUGGUCUGUCAAAGCUAGUCUCAGACACUGAGAAGGGCCACGUUUCCACCCAAGUCAAAGGAACACUGGUAGGUUAUCUGCUUAAUAAUGCUUUGCGUAAUUCAAUUAGUUAAUCCUGUCGUUGAUGGUCGUUUGCAUAUAGGGCUAUUUGGACCCAGAGUACUACAUGACACAGCAGCUCUCGGAGAAGAGCGACGUGUACAGCUUUGGCGUUGUCAUGCUAGAGAUACUGAGUGGCAGGCUGCCCAUAUCAAAGGGCAGGUACAUUGUCCGAGAAUUCAGGAUGGCCAUGGACCCCAACGACCAAGACUACUAUGGCCUGCAAGGCAUUGUGGACCCAGCCAUCCAUGACGCCGCACAUACUACGGGGUUCAGGAGGUUCGUGCAGCUGGCAAUGGAGUGUGUGGACGAGUCGGCCUCGAGGCGGCCCACCAUGAACUCAGUUGUGAAGGAGAUCGAGGCGAUGCUGCACGGCGAGGGGCUGAGCUCGGGCAGCUCAUCCGCCGUGGAGUUUGAGCGCGCGGGGACUGCCUCGGACUCGCACCUGUACAGCGGACCGGUAGUCACGGCCCGCUCCAACAGCAGCGGCAGCAUAGCUGGAGAACCACCCCACCCUGAGCUUAAACAUAGCGAACCGUAGAGGAGACUGCUCGAUUUGCUGCCUUUUCCCUGAUCAUUUUGUCGUGUCAUUCACACUCUACUUUACUAAGGAUUGUACACGAUUUUCCUAAGGAUUGCGAGCUGCUAUUACGCAGAAAUUUUCAGAACCAUAACUAGAUUAGCAUCUGGUGAACCCAGGGUGGAAAGUGAAAUCACCUCUUGCGCAUUAACAAAGCAUCAGCAAACGCAUCGGCCGAAGCCUCUGAAACUGCUAGUAGCAAUUACCAGUACGACCUGUGGGGUUCGCUCGAAUUCGAAACCGUUGGCUAAUAUGGGCGAGGACGGAGAGGGAGAGGAAAUGCAAGCAAACCUCCAAUGGAUGCGCCGGAGACGUGGCCGGCGGUGGCGGAGAGAGCCGCGCGCUCGCUCGCGCUUCUGCAGCCUCGCCUCUCCCUCCCAAGUCUUAUCCCGCCCGCCUUCGCCUACGGUGUUGCCGCCUUCUCCUUCGCCUCCGUCCGCUUCCCCUUCCGCCCGCCUCCG
rnacentral:lncRNA from 1 species